AUCAAAAUGCUUUGCAGACAUAAUGAAGAUGACAUUCACAUUGUAGAGCUUGGACAAAGUUCACACAGGCUCGGCGCAGGAACUCAUCAAGGACAUGACUGUUGGGAUCACGCUUGUGGAUGACCAAACUGAGCACCAUCAGUCUGCAGUGAUGUGGUCCAGCCAUCCGGUGACAUUAAGGAUGUUGAGAAAGAAAUUGAAGAGGGCAUUCUGAUUGUAACUGAGGAGCAGCAAUGUGAUGUGCUUCCCAAGGAAUAACCAACAUUGGUCUCAUUUGGACAUCC